rnacentral:tRNA from 1 species
GGAGGGUUGGCAGAGUGGUCCAAUGCGAGGGAGUGCUAAUCCCUUGAGCCGCAAGGCUCGCACAGGUUCAAAUCCUGUACCCUCCG